AGAGUUUGAUCCUGGCUCAGAACGAACGCUGGCGGCGUGGAUGAGGCAUGCAAGUCGAACGGGAUCCAGCAGGUAGCAAUAUUUGCUGGUGAGAGUGGCGUAAGGGUGAGUAAUGCGUGGUAAUCUACCUCUAAGAUCGGCAUAGCCCGGCGAAAGCUGGGAUAAUUCCGAAUGUUGUCGGCCGGUGCAUACCGGCCUGUCCAAAGCUGGGGACCGCAAGGCCUGGCACUUGGAGAUGAGCCCACGUCCUAUCAGCUAGUUGGUGAGGUAACGGCUCACCAGGGCUUACGGGUAGCUGGUCUGAGAGGACGAUCAGCCACACUGGGACUGAGACACUGCCCAGACUCCUACGGGAGGCUGCAGUCGAGAAUCUUUCGCAAUGGGCGCAAGCCUGACGAAGCGACGCCGCGUGUAGGAUGAAGGCCUUCGGGUUGUAAACUACUGUCUUCGGGGAGCAACGGCCGGGACGUUAAUACCGUACCGGAUUGAUAGUACUCAAGGAGGAAGCCACGGCUAACUCUGUGCCAGCAGCCGCGGUAAUACAGAGGUGGCGAGCGUUGUUCGGAUUUACUGGGCGUAAAGGGUGCCUAGGCGGUUCUGCGUGUCGGAUGUGAAAUCUCACUGAAAACGGUGAAACUGCAUUCGAAACUGCAGGGCUAGAGUGCAGGAGAGGAUGGCGGAAUUCUCGGUGUAGCGGUGAAAUGCGUUGAUAUCGAGAGGAACGCCGGUGGCGAAGGCGGCCAUCUGGACUGCAACUGACGCUGAGGCACGAAAGCUAGGGGAGCAAACAGGAUUAGAUACCCUGGUAGUCCUAGCCGUAAACAGUGUGAACUUGGUGUGGGAGGAAUUAUCCCCUUCCGUGCCGUAGCUAACGCGAUAAGUUCACCGCCUGGGGAGUACGGCCGCAAGGCUAAAACUCAAAGGAAUUGACGGGGGCCCGCACAAGCGGUGGAGCAUGUGGCUUAAUUCGAUGCAACGCGAAGAACCUUACCUGGGCUUGACAUGUAACUGCAAAUCCGGUGAAAGCCGGACUCCUUCGAGGGUGUUACACAGGUGCUGCAUGGCUGUCGUCAGCUCGUGCCGUGAGGUGUUAGGUUAAGUCCUGCAACGAGCGCAACCCCUGUGAUUAGUUGCUAGUCGCGCAAGCGAAGCACUCUAGUCAGACUGCCUGUGAUAAGCAGGAGGAAGGUGGGGAUGACGUCAAGUCAGUAUGGUCCUUAUGCCCAGGGCUGCACACGUGCUACAAUGUAGGGUACAGAGGGACGCGAAUCCGCGAGGUGGAGCAAAUCCCAUAAAACCCUACUCAGUUCAGAUUGGAGUCUGCAACUCGACUCCAUGAAGCUGGAAUCGCUAGUAAUGGCGCAUCAGCUACGGCGCCGUGAAUACGUUCCCGGGCCUUGUACACACCGCCCGUCACAUCAUGAAAGCCGAUUGCACCCGAAGUCGCUGUUUCAACCCGCAAGGGGGAUAGGUGCCUAAGGUGUGGUUGGUGAUUGGGAUGAAGUCGGAACAAGGUA
rnacentral:rRNA from 1 species